rnacentral:piRNA from 1 species
UGCCACUGUGACAGUUAUUAGCCAUGAGGA